UUGAAGUGUUAAAAUCCACGGCGUAAGAGCAAAGGGAAGGAAAUGUUCACCAAGGAUGAGAUAGCUGGCAGAGAUUCUACCUCCGCAGCCACUUUUCUCUCUGUGGAAAGAACCGGCCUUACAGCAUCAGCAUACAAACACCUCGCUAUUCAAUUAAAUUAAGGCCAGCUCGACACUAAAUCCAUGUGGCAGAGGCUGCCCACAUGACAAUUAGACUGUCCAACAGACAGAGGAAGAGGGAGGGACGAGAUAGUGGAGCAAUGCAGAUGAACGUCAUAAUCAGUCGGCCACAUUAGCCACCCCGGCUGGGUGCUGCCGCUCGCGUGUUGGCAGCGGUGCCGGGAGCCGGAGGCAGCGGGC
ensembl:lncRNA